rnacentral:rRNA from 1 species
AAUUCGAUUGAGUUUGAUCAUGGCUCAGGACGAACGCUGGCGGCGUGCUUAACACAUGCAAGUGGAGCGACGAACCGGGCUUCGGCCCGGGGCAGAGCCGCGAACGGGUGAGUAACACGUGGGUUACGUGCCCCGAUGACCGGGACAACCCGAGGAAACUCGGGCUAAUACCGGAUGUGCCCUCUCCUCACAAGGGGAGCGGGGAAAGGUAGCUUCGGCUUCCGCAUCGGGAUCGGCCCGCGGCCCAUUAGCUUGUUGGUGAGGUAACGGCUCACCAAGGCUGCGAUGGGUAGCUGGUCUGAGAGGACGAUCAGCCACACUGGGACUGAGACACGGCCCAGACUCCUACGGGAGGCAGCAGUGGGGAAUCUUGCGCAAUGCGCGAAAGCGUGACGCAGCAACGCCGCGUGCGGGAAGACGGCCUUCGGGUUGUAAACCGCUUUCAGGGGGGACGAAGCUUUGUCGGUGAACAGCCGAUUGGAGUGACGGUACCUUCAGAAGAAGCCCCGGCUAACUACGUGCCAGCAGCCGCGGUAAUACGUAGGGGGCAAGCGUUGUCCGGAAUUAUUGGGCGUAAAGCGCGUGUAGGCGGCUCGAUCAGUCCGCUCUGAAAGUCCGGGGCUCAACCCCGGGAGGCGGGUGGAUACUGUCGGGCUCGAGUCCGGAAGAGGCGAGUGGAAUUCCUGGUGUAGCGGUGAAAUGCGCAGAUAUCAGGAGGAACACCAAUGGCGAAGNNAGCUCGCUGGGACGGUACUGACGCUGAGACGCGAAAGCGUGGGGAGCAAACAGGAUUAGAUACCC